UACGUAGGUGGCAAGCGUUAUCCGGAAUUACUGGGCGUAAAGCGCACGCAGGCGGUCUUUUAAGUUUGACGUGAAAGCUCCCGGCUUAACUGGGAGAGGUCGUUGAAUACUGGGAGACUUGAGUUUAGGAGAGGGGUGUAGAAUUCCCGGUGUAGUGGUGGAAUGCGUAGAUAUCGGGGGGAAUACCAGUGGCGAAAGCGGCACCCUAGCCUUUGACUGGCGCUCAUGUGCGAAAGCGUGGGGAGCGAACGGG
rnacentral:rRNA from 1 species